UGCUGGCUGUGAGUCCAAGCACUGGGCUGGGUCCAGCACCAUUUGGCCUGAUAUGUUUGAAGGAAAAAAGUUAAUUUGCAUUUCACUAAAGUAGAUCAUUUCACAAGCUGCCUUCCGAAGCAAUGUCACAGUAAUUCAAUACUCAUUUAGUCUCGCUCUGCGUCACAAUUGGUGAUGGAGUUUAAACCUGAGAUUAUGGUGUGCCUAGAGAAACAAAGGACUGCAGAUGCUGGAAUCCAAAUGAAAAACACAAUGAUGCUGGAGGAACUCAGCAGGCCAGGCAGCGUCUGUGGAGAAAAGCAGGCAGUCAAUGUUUCAGAAGAGUUGAGGAAGAAAACAGACUUGAAGAUCUAGAGACCAGUGUUGCUUUGGAAAUCACUGCCUGAAGAGGCGGUGGGUCAGGAAUCCAGGGUACAUUUCAACAGCAGCUGAAUGGGCAACCAAGAGAAUUGAACACAGACUGAGAACCGGGGAGCUGGUCUAGUUACAACAGCCAAAACAGGCAGGCUCCUCCUGUCCUGCAAAUAUCUAGAUGGAGACAGCAGAUGCUUGAAUCUGAAGCAAAAGUCUAUCCAGUUCAGAUGAAGGGUCUCUACCUGAAACGUCAACUGUCCAUUUCCCUCCACAGAUGCUGCCUGACCUGAGUUCUUCCAGUAGUUUUUUUUUUGCUGCACAUGUCUGUAAUGCUCUGAGUUCAAAAGUUGUAAAAUAGAGUAAUUCUUUAUUCCACGGUCCACUGCCCUCUCCUACCAGAUUCCUUCUUCUUCAGCCCUUUGCUUCUUCUACCUGUCACCUCUCAGCCUCAUAUAUCUUCUCCACCUCCCCCAACCACCUCCCUUCCCCCUCUCAGCUGAACUCACCUAUCCCCUGCCUGUGUGUGCUCCUCCCCCUCCCCCUACCUUCUUAUUCUGGCUUCUGCCCUCUUCCUUUCCAGUCCUGAUGAAGGGUUUCAGCCCGAAACGUUGACUGUUUAUUUCCCUCCAUAGAUGCUACCUGACCUGCUGAGUUCCACCAGUACUUUUCGUGUAUUGCUCCAGAUUCCAACAUCUUCAGAAUUCCUUGUGUGUCAGAGUAAUAGAGUCAUAGAGUCAAACAGCACCGAAACAGGCCCUUCGGCCCAACUGGUCCAUGCUGACCAAGAUUCCCAUCUAAUUUAGUCCCAUUUGCCCACGUUUGACCCAUAUCCCUCUAAACCUUUCCUAUCCAUGUAUCUGUCCAAAUAUCUUUUGUUAUUGUACCUGCCUCAUCCACUUCCUCUGGAAGCUCGUUCCACAUACUGACCAACCUCUGUGUGAAAUAGUUGCCUCUCAGGUUCCUAAUAAGUCCUUUCACCUUAAACCUAUGCCCUCUAGUUCUUGAUUCCCCAAGCCUGGGAAAAAGAAUGAGUGCAUAUACCCUGUGAUUAUCUACAAUAGAAAGUGAUUGCAAGUUUGUUUGUUAAUGUAAAUUUGCUUCUUCUUUACCCAUUCUUAACAGUCUUGCUAAAACGUACUUUUUAUCUAAACCUUACGUGGUUAUUUUCCCUGUUAGUUUUUGCGAUCUGGUCUGCGACCAUACAUAGCAUUGAUGCUGGUUCCCUGUGAGCCCUGGUUUAACAAUAUGGUGUGGAACUGUAUGCAAACCAGUCCAGGGUAGUUGUUGAAGAAGCCCUUAUGGCUUGCGGAACUGAACUUUAAGAACCAUUGCCAUAACCCUAACCCUAACCCUAACCCUAAUUGCCAUCUCUCACCUGCACCCCCCAAAAGAUAUUGGCCUGGAUAUUUUGAAGUGUAUUAGCAUAGAAGUUACGUUACUGGACGAUCAACCAGAGACCUGAAAGAUUCAGCCUGAAUCAUGACUCUAGCACCCAUCAUGUCAGCUGGUAGAACAAUAAAGGUUACCGUAAAACCAUUAAAUUGAUGUAAAAACUCAUCUGAUGUCCUGAAAGGAAUAAAGUACCCAUCCUCUGCAGUUAGAGUGAUAUGGCUGAACUUUUAACCACCAUCCGAAAUAGGUGGGGAAAUCUCUUGGUAUUGGAGGCUAUCAGGGAAAGACAAUACAUGAUGACUGAUCCAGUGAUGUUCACAUCUCAUGACUGAAUAAGUAACACAAAAAUGAGAGUGCAACUACCAAUGCUCCCUGUCAUUACUAUGUGGAAGUGACAACAAUAGGGGGUCUUGUGCAUGCAUAGAUUUAUGUGGGAAUCCCUCAGUUACCAUAAUGGUCCCACAUUCCUCCACAGGUUACAGAGUUUGCAGCUGUCUCCACUGCAAAUAAGCUGAAACCAAUUGAACUUCAGGUUUUAUGAACUAAUCCAGCUUUAAAAUCUCCUGUAAAUCAGGUUCAGUAACAUCAGGUCCAAAUGAGAAUUCAGUGGAACUUUAAGCCAUAGUUACUGCUUAGCAACUGGGUCUGGUUUAAUUUUUCCCCUGUUAGUAACUUCCUCACAUAAGUAGAUAUGUGAGGAAAAUACAAUUACAAAUGUUUAAAAAGCAUUUGGACAGAUCCUCCGAUUGGAAAGGUGUAGAGGGGUACAGGCCCAAUGCAGGUAAAUGAGAUUAGGUUAGAAAGGUUUCAUAGAUGAGAUGGGUAAAAGGUCUCAUUCCUGUACGAUACAAUUCUAUGAUUCUAAAUCCUUCAAAAUACGUAAGAUUCUUUUUGUAUGGUUUAUUUAUGCCAUUUUGUUUGCUGACUUUAAUUACGUAUGCCUGUUUCAAUCUUAGUAUCCUGUGUAAUGUUUAAAAAGUUGAUUAAAAACUGCUAAGUGCUUUGUUGGAAUACUUUACUGUGAUUGGCUGAUUGGCCCACUUGAUAAUGCUGUAGCUGCUGUCUGUGAAGGCUCCCUUUUAAUUGAAGCUUGAUAGUAGCAGGAAUCAGAAAAGGGAAGUUCUCACCCCAGAGAGUGCUGGAACUUUCUGGAUAGCUUUGCCACUGAUCGUCGAUAAUGAACCACAAAGAAUUUGAACUCUGAUCACAAGCCCAAGACCCAGACCAGAUGAAAGGUCUCAACUGAAAACAUCGACUGUCCAUUUCCCUCCAUAGAUGCUGCCUGACCCCUAAGUUCCUCCAGCAUCUUGCGUGUUGCUCCAGAUUCAGCAUCUGCUGUCUCCAUGAAAACAGGUCCUUUGGCCCAACUCGUCCAUGUUGACCAAGGUACCUUCCUGAGCUAGUCCUAUUUGCCUGUGUUGACCCAUAACCCUCUAAACCUUUCCAAUCCUUGACAAGGUAGAUUGAGAAAUCCAGAGUUCAUCUUUAUCACAUAAGAGGUCCAAUCCAGAGUCUUUUAACAGUUGGAAAGAAGCUGUCCUUGAGCCUGGUGGUAUUUGCU